CAGUCGCCGCGGUAAUACGAAGGGGGCUAGCGUUGCUCGGAAUUACUGGGCGUAAAGGGAGCGUAGGCGGAUCGUUUAGUCAGGGGUGAAAUCCCGGGGCUCAACCUCAGAACUGCCUUUGAUACUGGCGAUCUUGAGUAUGGGAGAGGUGUGUGGAACUCCGAGUGUAGAGGUGAAAUUCGUAGAUAUUCGGAAGAACACCAGUGGCGAAGGCGACACACUGGCCCAUUACUGACGCUGAGGCUCGAAAGCGUGGGGAGCAAACAGGAUUAGAGACCCCGGUAGUCCCUGUCUCUUAUAC
rnacentral:rRNA from 1 species